rnacentral:lncRNA from 1 species
AUGACGGGAAAACGCCCCCUCACCCUUGGAGGGUCAGAGCCCUUUCGCGCCCGCGCCUCGGCGCUCCAACUUGGAAGCAGCACAGGCAGCCCUGGCCUCACAGGAGCCCAGCUCAGACCCUGGAGAAACCCACCACCCCAAGGCCUCAGGGAUGAAGACAUCCUACUACUGACCAGCGCCACUCCAGCCAAGCACUCCUGUUAUUCCAGAAGAAGACAUUUGCCAUGAAUUUGACUCAUCUGGAUCUUCCAUCGCUGCUUCUCUUAGGGUCUAACCACUUGUCUCUUGCUAGCAACUCAUUCUCCUAACUCCCAGUUUAAAUUCUGGAGAGAGAAUUUGUUUGGCUUGGUUAAUUGCUAUUGUUCAAGGUACUGUGGUUAUAUAAAGAUUACUCUGAAAGUUAGCAACUUAAAAAAUAUUCCUGGGCAUAUGACUUACAAUUUGGGCAGGACUUGACAGGCAUAGCCCAUCUCUGCUUUACAUGGUAUCACCUGGGCUGCCUGAAGGCUGGGGGCCAGAAUCAUCUGAAGGCUCACUUUGUCAUGUUGCAGUUGAUGUCAGCUGUAGGCUGAGACCCUUGGGCUCUCGGCUGGAAAACCUACAUGGUUAGAUUAGCCAUGUCUGUUAUUUGCUAUGCUCUGAUGUUUGGACACCUUGAGGCUUUGCUGACUCUGGAGCGACUGCCCACCCCUCUGCUAGAGAAAGCAAAAACUGCCUUAUAAACACGUCUUUCAUAUGCCAGCCAAUCAAUCCAGAGCCCAUUUCCCCAGCUGCAUCCUUCAUGGAGCUAUUAUACUCCAGGCCCCUAUCUCCCUAAUCACCUCAGGACCAGGUCUCAGACAAUUAGAGAGAGUCCCUCCACCCCAGAGCCCACUGCGAUUAUUCUAACUAGCCCAUCCUAAACCUGCUAAUCCUGCUCACCUGUUCCUUUCCAUGGAAACUACAGUAAAGCCUCUUGCCAGUUUUCCUCUCUCUCUGCCUCCCGACUGACCCUGGUGCUUCCCUGUGUGCCCCGACCCCAUCUCCCAGAGGCAUGGUGCUCCUCUUGGCCCUUGCUCUUGGAAACUCUGUGCAUAACAAACUGUCCUUUCAGUGGCAAUCACCUUUUGUUCUUCUGUCAUGAAUAAUAAAACACACAUUUUAAAAUGAUGGUCUCUCCA